GGGCCUGUAGCUCAGUGUCUAGGGUACCAGCCAUAUACACCGGAGCUGGCGGGUUCGAAUCCAGCCCAGGUCUG
rfam:Otolemur garnettii contig000676, whole genome shotgun sequence.